rnacentral:rRNA from 1 species
UACGUAGGGUGCAAGCGUUAUCCGGAUUCACUGGGUUUAAAGGGUGCGUAGGUGGUUGUGCAAGUCUGAUGUGAAAUCUCCGGGCUUAACCCGGAAAUGGCAUUGGAAACUGCAUGGCUAGAGUGUUGGAGGGGGGACUGGAAUUCUCGGUGUAGCAGUGAAAUGCGUAGAUAUCGAGAGGAACACCAGUGGCGAAGGCGAGUCCCUGGACAACGACUGACACUGAGGCACGAAAGCUAGGGGAGCAAACAGG